AACAGACGUUAGCUCAGGGCCAAUCUUCCUCAUCAAAAAAAUAUAUACAUAUAUACCUAUGAUUUUAGUAAAGAGAAUUUCUAGGAAAUGUGAGCUCUUAUUGUAUCUACAGCCUUAAUAAAUAAAUAUAAACUUGUACUUUCAUGUACCAUUCAGGUUAGGGCAUUUUACCUUUUGGAUAUUUCUAAUGUGCAUUGGUGGGAAAAGAUAUUUUAUUUACUCCUUGUAUACUCAUCAAUUUAUUGCAUAUCAAUAAGAACCUAUUCAUUUAAAUGAGUUUAUUCAUGUAAUAAGAAAAAUUUUUAAUGAAAACUGCUUGAUUUGUGUGUGUGUGUGUGUGUAUUAUAUCCAUAGCUUGUUAUUCUUAGUUUUGGCCUGAAACUAUGAAUUCUUUUGCUUUUGAAAUUCUUAAGUUUUUCCUGUGAAUACUCAAAUAUUCUUUUCCCAUGACUUUUAUCAAAAUGAUUUUGAGCUGUUUAUAACAAAAUAGAGGCUCUGUGGUAUAAGAUCCCAAAGGAUUAUAUAAUCCCCAUAAUUCUAGGAGAUAUACUAAAAGAAAGAAUGCAUAAUUGUGAUGUUAGGUUAAACCAUUAAUUUUAUGUAGAAAUAUGAUUUCUUAAUUACAGAAAUCAGUCAUCAUUUUGUUCUGGAGUACUUUAAUACUAUUUUAAAGCUCUAAGAAGUAGAUAAUCAACAAUUAUAAGCGAUUAGAAAUUCCAAAUGUUAACAUAAGCAAAAUAGAAAGAAAUUUCUUUAAUAAUUUUUUACAUGAUUAAAGAAGAAACUUUUAAAAAGCAGAAUAACAUUGGAUUAACCUUACUUUUGAUGGCACAACUCCACUCUUAAAUAAAGACAUUUUCAUUUUAGGGAUUAACAAGAAUUAGCAGAAUAACUAAGUAAAAUGAAGACAGAAAAGAGAGGAAUUACCUGGGAUGUCAUAAUCCUAUUACUCAACAAUGAGGUAAAAUAAAAUUCCAAGAAGGAAAAGAAAAGGUGAGAAAAGAAGAGAAAACAGAAAAGUGAGACAGACAAAAAGAAAAAGGAUCAAAAUUGGGAUUACUUCACAGUUUUCAAUGUAUCUGACAGAAAAAGAAGGAAUGGAAGGAUAGAGGAGGCAGAUCUUCCAAUGGAACGGAUGCUCUUCUGAGAUAUGAUGACCCAAAAUGUAGCAAAAAAGUAGGACCAUCUUCUGAGACACAGUACCACACCAAACAAGAUGCAGAUGGAGAAAGGCAAAGAGAGGGGAAGACAGGAGAAGAAAGGAAUGAAGCAUGAGAGAACAAAUGUGGUUAAACAAAAAAAAGGAAUAAAGUAAUUUUCAAGUUUUAAUAAAAUUUAGCACUGGAGAUUACAGCAACAAAAGUACUAUAGAGAGAUGCUUUUUAGAGACAGGGUUCUUUUUCAGUUUUGUUUUGUCUUUUUGAAACUACAAAUCUUAUCUAGUUUUGUACUCCACUUUCUUUGUCAAAAUUAAAUUUUUCUUCAGUUUUAUUGAGGUAUGAUUGACAAUCAUUGUAUUUAUUUAAGGUGUACAAGAGAGGGUUCUUUUACAUAUGGUCUAUCAAAGUCUUUUUCAGGAGUAAUAAGAAAUGCAUAUUGUGCCACAGCUUAUAAAAGACAUAUUUAAUAUCUGGUUAAAAACCACUUAUAAGUCCACAUUAAUUUCCAUUUAUUUCAACAUAAACAUUUAUAAAUCCUUCCUGAUAAUACUGGUCUAGAACAGAGUAAAGAAUAUGUUUUCCUCAUUAUGCUUUUACUCUAUUACUUUUUCAGAUUAAAAAAAAAAUUCAGUGUUAAAUAAUGCUGCUUAUCAAGGUAAAUAUAGCUUAUCUGAUUAACUUAAAAUAUCACUUUACUUAGAAUUUCAAAACCAAAUUUCCAAGGAAUAAAAAAUAGGACUUUUCAUAGAUAAGAAUAAAAUCAAAAUUGUAAUAAAGAAUUUCUAAUCCUCAUUUAUAAAUGAAGAAACUGAGACACACAGCUACAAAGUAGAAGAAUGGGAUUCAAGUCCAUACAAGAUAUGAGAUAUCUAGGAUAUAAAAUUUUAAAUUAAAAUAAAAUUCCCUUACCUAUAAUCACAAAAAAUUACAGUAUUGAAAACAGGCUAUAUAUAACAUAGCUUCCCAAAUAUUUCAAUUACUAUGAGGGAGGUAAAAAGGAGAAAAAGUGUAA